UAUGUAUUAUUUUUUAUAUUUAUUUUUAAAUUUAAUAAUAUUAUAAAUAAUAAAAAAUAAAAACCCUAACCACCACCAAAUUUUCCCCAAAUCGAACCUGGCCUCUCUCUAUCUUCUCCAUCACGCUCACCACCGCAAUCCUCUCUCUGUCCGCCUUCCCACCGGCUCCGGCGAGGCUAUGUCCGGCCUAGGGCGCCGCUCUUCGACUACUUCCUCCCGUCAUUCAUUCUUCUCUCUCAAAAAUCACGGAUGAAGACAAAAGGGGAGCCCUUAUUUCCUCCCCAAAUCAGGAAUCGCCGCCGACUAAGCCGAAAUCCGGCAACGCAGCGCCCUUCUCUCCGGCUUUGUCGAUGCCUCCACGCCGGAGGCUUUCUCCUUCCCUUUCCCUUCCGAUUUUGAGCCCUAGCUUUCAUAGAAAGAAAUACCGCCGUCGCUGCAACUGGAACACCAGAGAAUGGUCGGGCUUCGUCCGUUCUCCUCCUCUUCUUCUCUCUGAAUCUGGCACCGCCGACUGAGGAACGUCGAUGAACGCCGCUCACUGCCAUGGUCUUCGAGGUUCGGGCAAGUGGUUGUCACCUCCGCUCUCUCGUUACCUCUCUCACUCACUCUCAUGAACAGAUCUCCCUCACACACGAAGAGAAUAGAAAUCGAGUCCUAGCUCUCUCUCGACACUUUCCCAAUCUCUCGCUGCUGUUACAUUUCUCUACCGAGCAGGUGAGGGCCUGCCGCCUCCGUCGAUCCUCCGAGCUCCGUCGUGCGUCGGAAGUUCGUCGUCGUGCCGCUCUCCUUGGUUACAGAGCAAGGUAGCCGCAAUUCUCCCCUUUCGAAGCUAAGUUUCCUGUCCCAUCUCUUUUCUAUUGAUGAUAGUGUUUUCUACGUCGUUGCAUAUCGACUUCUUAGUGUAGUGGAUUUCUAAUGAUUGGUUGCAAUUAAACGUCAGUAAAUUGCAUUAUGUCCUUGCCUUGUUUUUCUCCACAUAUACGAAGCAUUUCAUACUUCUAUGAUGAUGAGUUAUGGCAUUUGAUGUCCAUCUAAGAUGUUGAAAUCAUCUCAGUUCUAGAAAACUUGGAGCUGUCAUGACUUGUUAUUUACUGGCUAUAUCUACUUCAUCUUGUAUUAUUCCAACUUGGCUUGAUUUGUAGCAGUUAUGUAUGCUUCUUUCUUAAAACUUGUUGCUUUCACAUUUAAUCUUUGGAAUGAUAUUGCUAAAUUUCUUCUUUUAUCUCAUGAGAAUCUGUAUAUACUUCCUAGCAUCCAUUAUAUGAUGAUAUAUAUAGGAUGUCAUUUCAAAAAUUGCUCAUGGCCUCUUUAUUUUGUUUAUAUCUAUAUAUCUGCCUAUCAUACUUUGAUAAUUCAAAAAAAGUUGAUAAAACAUUAGUUUAUUUGAUUCAGAUCUUAUUUAUGUGAAGUUCUUUCUAUUGUCGCCCGCUUAUUGAUAAAAUGGGUUUUAUGUUUAGUUAACACAUUUCUUUUUAGUUUCUCAUACCAUGGAUUCCUAAAUGAACUGUUCUGCAAUUAAUUUUAUCCAAGAUUUGGAAAAUAUUAAGAAGAGCAAUGGUUUCAAAUGAACUCUAAUGGUUAAAAGAAUACUGCUGUAACAUCUGUGGAAUUUCACUUUGUGACUUCUAUAUCAGCUCUUUUCAUCCUUUACAUUUCUUUUAUUUGGUCCUGUCUGGCACCUAUAGAUCUAACACGAAUCUUCUUGCAUCAGAUUUGUUCUUUGCUCCAUCAGAGGUAUAAAGAAUUUGCUCCUAGUCUUGUUCGAAAUGUAGCCCAUCAUUUUAACUAGCAAGUGCAAUUGUGUCUCACUAGCUAGAGAAAAUGUAGAUGCGCAAACUAUCUCUCUGGUCAAGUCACUCAUUAACAAAUAUUGUGAACUAUGAUGGAUCUGGAUGGUUCCUCUAUUACUUUUUGACUGCGUAUAGUUACAUGCAUGAAUUUGGUAUUGAGUGCCUACGAUUUAUAAUUCUAAAGUUGUAUUUAUUUAUCGUGCUGGUGUCCAUGACUUACAGCUUCUCAAGGGACUUAAUAUUUAUUUGCUCUACUUUUGUUCUUCUUUUUCUCAAAUUUAAUCCAAGUAUUCGUUUUCUUGUUCUAAGUUUCGAAAUGGAAUCUGUUGUGCUGGGGCACCUGCUGCUGUUUUGAGCAAAGUGCUUAAAGAUAAAGAGGUCAUUGGAUAGAUGAUGUUGGCGAAGACCCAGCAAGAUGCCCCUUUGAGCAAACCUGGGACAAUUUAAUUUUUCUUGGUGUCAUCUGAUUCUUGGUGCUUCUAUUUACUUAUAUUUUUAGAGAGAUUGCAUUUAAUAAAAACCAUUUAUGUUUCACAGGGAGAUUGAUGGGAGUUGAUGCACCAUUUUUCAAUCGAGAAUGCAGCCAAAAAUUGAGCUAUGAGUACUAGUACUAAUGAGAAGGUUGAUGUAGAGAACGUCGUUUAAAAUAUAUAGCAAGUUGCGCUCAUUUGUAAUAUGUUUUUCUUAAUUAAGCAUUUAGCUAAAUAGAAUAUAUAUGAUGUUUUCAUUAUAUUUGGACGAUAAUGUAUGAAUAUUUUGGAUGUUAUAUAUGUUAUCGAUGACAAUGUCA